UACGUAGGGGGCAAGCGUUGUUCGGAAUUACUGGGCGUAAAGGGCGCGUAGGUGGCCUUCUAAGUUGAACGUGAAAUCCCUGGGCUCAACCCAGGAACUGCGUCCAAGACUGGGAGGCUUGAAUCCGGGAGAGGGAUGCGGAAUUCCAGGUGUAGCGGUGAAAUGCGUAGAUAUCUGGAGGAACACCGGUGGCGAAGGCGGCAUCCUGGACCGGUAUUGACACUGAGGCGCGAAAGCCAGGGGAGCAAACGGG
rnacentral:rRNA from 1 species